rnacentral:tRNA from 1 species
GGGCACAUGGUGUAGUUGGUUAUCACGCCCGCUUAGCACUCCUCCGCUGUCAUCCUCAGCAUUUGCGGGCGGUCCCCGGUUCAAUUCCGGGUGUGUCCA